CCUGACGGCAAUAGCGCUGUGGAACCACCUGAUCCCAUGCCGAACUCAGAAGUGAAACGCGGUAGCGCCGAUGGUAGUGUGGCAUUCGCCAUGCGAGAGUAGGACACUGUCAGGC
rnacentral:rRNA from 2 species